UUUCUGAAUGUUGAGCUUUAAACCAACUUUUUCACUCUCCUCUUUCACUGGGUUCUAUAGAGUUCACUGAAUAUAUAGGUAGGAGCCCCACAGUCCCUAUGUUUGAGAGACAGUGAUCUGGGGGAGGGGGUGGAGGUGGACCCAGCAAGGGCAAGGGAGUGUUUUUCAAGGGGAGAGCGUGUGGUAUUUGGAUUGUGAAAGAUUUUCUGUUUAGGACUUCCCCUCAAUUUGCAGGCCUUUUAGCAUUGCUGGGCUUUGACCAUUAAAUGCCAGGCGGUUCUCCAGAGGCACAGGACAAGCCCAAACCAUUUGCACAUGUUGAAAAAUCCUCCUGCGAGGCACCAGUACGGCUUGCCUUUAGGUGAGAAAGCCCAUAGGCCAUCAGGCUUGCUUAAGGCAGCUGGACCUCAGCUCUUUCCAACCAUCUUACAGCUUCAGCUAGGCCCUGGGGCCCCGCCUACCUAUUUCUUUUCCCUUACCGCCAGCCUUCCCAGUUAGAUAGAUCCUAUGUUCCGGACGCUGUGGUGGGGCCGCCUUCAGUCUACCGUUUGGCCUGUAGAGGGCAGCAGCACCCAGAACGUCCCGCUUGCUUUUUAACAUGGGAAGUGGUAGUCAAGCCUUGCCACGCUGUUUCCUCCAUCCCUCUUCAUACCUUGCCCUUCUUUUUGGCAGUCUCCUCUAGAAAAGAGCUUCUCAACGUUCCCCCCACUGGCCUGGCAGCAGCAAAGGUGGUGUUUGGAGCACACGCUUAGUAUCCAGGAUGCUGGAAUGGGCUUAGGGCAGUCCUGGGGCACGUGGAUUUCUUUGGUCUGCAGGGACCCCAGGGAAGCAUUAGGGUCAACACCAGGGGCUGGGCCUUGAGAGCACAGAGCUGAUUGCUAAAAUCUGUGUCAGGGCUUCUCUGGUGGUCUAGUGGUUAAGAAUCUGCCUUGCAAUGCUCGGGGCUGAAGUUCCAUUCCUGACUGGGGAUGAUCCCACUUGCCAGCAGAGCAGCUAAGCCCGUGGGCCAAAACUACCGGGAC
rnacentral:lncRNA from 1 species